rnacentral:rRNA from 1 species
UACGUAGGGGCCAAGCGUUGUCCGGAUUUAUUGGGCGUAAAGAGCUCGUAGGCGGUUCGGCAAGUCAGCUGUGAAAUCUCCACGCUCAACGUGGAGGGGUCAGCUGAUACUGCUGUGACUCGAGUCCGGUAGGGGAGUGUGGAAUUCCGGGUGUAGCGGUGGAAUGCGUAGAGAUCCGGAAGAACACCGGUGGCGAAGGCGGCCCGCUGGGCAACUGCUGACACUGAGGCGCGACAGCGUGGGGAGCAAACAGG